UACGUAGGGGGCAAGCGUUGUCCGGAAUUAUUGGGCGUAAAGAGCGCGUAGGCGGUCCGAUAAGUCGGCUGUGAAAGUCAGGGGCUCAACCCUUGGAAGCCGGCCGAUACUGUCGGACUAGAGUCCGGAAGAGGCGAGUGGAAUUCCCGGUGUAGCGGUGAAAUGCGCAGAUAUCAGGAAGAACACCAACGGCGAAGGCAGCUCGCUGGGACGGUACUGACGCUGAGACGCGAAAGCGUGGGGAGCGAACAGG
rnacentral:rRNA from 1 species